UAUUUAGAGGGGUAGGGGAGCAUUCCAGGUGUGUUGAAGGUGGCCUGCGAGGUCUGCUGGAACGCCUGGAAACGAAAAUGUAGGCAUAAGUAACGAUAAUGCGGGCGAGAAACCCGCACGCCGAAAGACCAAGGUUUCCCCAGCUAUGCUAAUCAGCUGGGGGUCAGUCGGGACCUAACACGAACCCGAAGGGGGUAGUGGAUGGACAACAGAUUAAUAUUUCU
rnacentral:rRNA from 1 species